rnacentral:ncRNA from 1 species
GGGCUUUGAGGUGGUAAAAUUCGUUGCGACCACACGCCGAUGGUAUGACAGGGGGAAACCCCGAGAGAUGCGGGAGAUGCGACGCCCGCCAAAGCCC